AGAGGGUUGUCAGAGUGGUCGAUCGAGGCAGUCUUGAAAACUGUUGGCUGUUACAGGCCCGGGGGUUCGAAUCCCUCACCCUCUACCA
rnacentral:tRNA from 2 species